AACCCUAACUAAACAACGCCCACCCUUCCAUUCUCUCCCCCAAGCAACCGCAUCUCAUCUCAAAUAAAGAACAUUAAAAAAAGCACCCCCCGAGCUCCUAACCCACAGCUAUCAGUCAGCCGCAACCCAGCGAUCUCGACAGCAGCAGCGGCGUCUUUACUCUGCAGAAAUGGCAGAAGCGCCUCUACUUGAUAUUGAGGAGGAGGUUCGCUCAUUGCAGCUUGACUCAGCGGAUUGUGCAUCAGAGAUAAAUGGGGAGAUAAAUGAAGAUGCAAGGCCAGAAGAAGUUGAGAAGGUGGAUGAGAUGGAGAAAGAUUCAGAUCAUAAAGUCACUGUGAGCUCUCAGGAAGUGCAGGCUGAGUUGCCCAAAGUGAAAGAUAAAGAAGUACCUGCACCAGAAGAUGUGGAAGCAGUGGUUGAGAUGGAACAGUACAAUAAGAAGCGACACUUAAAUGUUGUUUUUAUUGGCCAUGUUGAUGCUGGCAAGUCCACCACUGGGGGCCAGAUACUCUUUCUUAGUGGCCAGGUGGAUGAUCGCACAAUCCAGAAAUAUGAGAAAGAAGCUAAGGACAAAAGUAGAGAAAGCUGGUAUAUGGCUUAUAUUAUGGACACUAAUGAGGAAGAGAGGGUUAAGGGCAAAACUGUUGAAGUUGGAAGAGCACACUUUGAAACAGAGACAACAAGAUUCACAAUUUUAGAUGCACCGGGUCACAAGAGCUAUGUUCCAAAUAUGAUUAGCGGAGCAUCUCAGGCUGAUAUAGGCGUGCUAGUUAUUUCUGCUCGGAAAGGAGAAUUUGAAACUGGCUAUGAGAGAGGUGGGCAGACCCGUGAGCAUGUUCAACUUGCAAAGACCUUGGGUGUUUCGAAGCUGCUUGUUGUUGUAAAUAAAAUGGAUGAGCCAACUGUGAACUGGUCAAAAGAAAGGUAUGAUGAGAUUGAAUCAAAGAUGAUACCGUUUCUUAAGUCUUCUGGCUACAAUGUGAAGAAAGAUGUCCAAUUCCUACCAAUAUCUGGUCUAAUGGGCACCAACAUGAAAACAAGAUUGGAUAAGGCUGUAUGUCCAUGGUGGAAUGGCCCAUGCCUUUUUGAAGCUCUUGAUUCUAUUGAAGUUCCUCCACGAGAUCCAAAUGGUCCUUUGAGGAUGCCUAUUAUUGACAAAUUCAAGGACAUGGGAACUGUUGUUAUGGGCAAAGUAGAGUCUGGUAGUGUGAUGGAAGGUGAUACCUUGUUGGUCAUGCCAAACAAGACUCAGGUGAAAGUUCUUGCUGUGUUUUGCGAUGAAAAUAAGGUAAGACGUGCAGGACCAGGAGAAAAUGUGAGGGUUAGAUUAUCUGGAAUUGAUGAUGAGGAUAUAUUGUCGGGUUUUGUUCUUUCAAGUGUUGCAAGGCCAAUCUUUUCAGUUACAGAGUUUGAUGCCCAGUUGCAAAUCCUUGAGUUACUGGAUAACGCAAUUUUUACAGCUGGCUAUAAGGCUGUCUUGCACAUACAUUCUGUUGUUGAGGAGUGUGAGAUUGUUCAGCUGCUGCAGCAAAUUGAUCCAAAGACUAGGAAACCUAUGAAAAAGAAAGUCCUCUUUGUGAAGAAUGGCGCAAUUGUUCUCUGCCGUAUUCAGGUAAACAAUUUGAUAUGCGUUGAGAAAUUCUCAGAUUUUCCACAACUCGGCAGGUUUACUCUUCGUACUGAGGGGAAAACAGUUGCAGUGGGAAAAGUCACAGAACUUCCGUCUGGUUCUAAUUUUUGAACAAUUUUGCAUUAAAGGCAAUCAGAGUCAAAUGGACCACUUUUUGUGUGUUUUGGCAGCCCACCUAUAAAUCAUUACAUGUGUCGAUUCACAUAUAUGGGGGAAGGCGCUUCUUAUGCAGUUUUUGGAGGUUGGAGUUUAGAGCUGAGAACAGACGAAGAUGGCGAGCUUGGGAGUAGAGAAUGGAUUGCUUGGAGCAUACUUAGAAACAUAUAAUGGAUUGUUUGGAUUUUUGUAGAGCAUAGAGGAGAGAAAUGUGCUUGAAGACUUGUCUUGUGGUUGACUUUAUUUUAGAUCUGGUCAAAACACUUAUCCAUGCGAGAGUGAGAUUGGUGAAAGAAAAAUAUCAAAUUUAUUCGAAGAUAAUGCUAUGAAAAAGGGUGCUGAACAAUUUCAGUAUUUUGAUAAAAACAAGCUUCUUUA